UACGUAGGGUGCAAGCGUUAAUCGGAAUUACUGGGCGUAAAGCGUGUGCAGGCGGUUUUGUAAGUUUGUUGUGAAAUCCCCGGGCUCAACCUGGGAAUUGCGAUGAAGACUGCAAGGCUAGAAUCUGGCAGAGGGUGGUAGAAUUCCACGUGUAGCAGUGAAAUGCGUAGAGAUGUGGAGGAACACCGAUGGCGAAGGCAGCCCCCUGGGUCAAGAUUGACGCUCAUGCACGAAAGCGUGGGGAGCAAACAGG
rnacentral:rRNA from 1 species